rnacentral:lncRNA from 1 species
UUUUAGAUUAAUUUUGGGGAAACAUAUCAAAUAAUUUUGUAUCUUCCUAUAAUUUCCAGGCCGAGUGUCUUUUAUUUAUCUUGAAGUUAACAAAAGAAGGAGAAGGUCCUCGUCAGAAAAGUACCACAAUUUAUCUCUUUCCUUGGCCUAAUUUCUUUCAUCCCAGUGCAUGUGAUUUCUCAGAACAAUCAAGAUAGGAAGGAGGUACAGAGUUGCUCUAGUCCCAUUCUGGGGGCCCAGCACCAAGUGACCACUACAUCCACCUGCUCCUGUAACUGAGUUCCUGAUGUCUGAGUUCCCUUCCAGGCAUGCUUCAAGGAUGCCCAAUCCUAUUGCAUGCGAUGUGUCAGCAUUUGCCCAUCUAGCUGGGAUGCUUCCUGUGGUCUGUGCAAACCUCCUCUGACAUUGAAGUUCUUGGAAUAGUGGCCCCUGAGACCCACAUAACAGGAAUAAUGGUUGAGUGGGACUGUAUCCCUAUAUGCCACGGCAAGCAGAGCAGCAAGUUCUACUGACCUUGGGGUCUCUGUUUCACUCUCAGUGAGUUCCUGCCCACCAGUCAGUCAAAUGUGCUCCACACAGUUCCACACAUCUGGUAGCCCUGCUUAAUCUCUAUAAUCUGCUUAUAAAGUCAGAGAGGCAGAGGGGAAAAUCUUGUGAAAGGAAGAGUUUCCUUUAACAGAGGUUCAAAGCUCAUUAGAAUGAGGCCCCCAAACAAUACACCUUACAGGAAGUCAGCAGAUAUGUCUACUAAGAAUCAAGAGGUUCAUACCAAGGUGCCUCGGGUGCUGAAGUACUUGCCCUCUCCUAGUUGGUAGCUCCCAAUCAUCCUCCAGGUCAGAGGUCAGACACCACUUCCUUUGGGACAACUUCCCUCCACAGCUUUCCCAGCCCAGAUGAAGUGCCCACUGUCACAUCACAUAGCUCCUGGUUCUCCUCUGACAGCUCUCUACACACUCUAUAGAGAUGGCCUGUUCACUUGUCUUGAUGUUACUUGAAGUGAGCUACUUGAAAGCAACAAUGGCAUCUUGUUCCUGUUUGUACCCCUAAAGCCUAUUGUGGUGGCUGCCAUGGAGCCAGAAGCUCAGUAAAUAUUUGAUAUGAGUAAUAAAAGCAAUGAGUAUCCAAAAUGAUUAGUUGAAAACGGUAACCCACGACGGCAAGAACUAUACAUAGUUCAGCAAGUUAGUAAUGCCGUUGAUAUACACAUGUGGCAUAGCUCACAAUGUGCAGAAUAACUAUUAUGUGGUUUUCACUAUUAAGUUUCUGGUUCUUUCCCCAGUAGAUAUUGAACUUUUUAGUCUCAGAAUCCCUUUACACUUUUAAAAGACACCCAAAGAGAUUUGGUUUAGAUGUGUUUUCUUUUUUCCUUUAUUUAUUUAUUAGUUGUAGUUGAAC